rnacentral:rRNA from 1 species
CCCUUAGAUGCUCUGGGCCGCACGCGCGCUACACUGGUCGAUGCAACGAGUUUCUUUCCUUGGCCGACAGGCCUGGGCAAUCUUUGAACAUCGAUCGUGAUCGGGACAGAUUCUUGUAAUUUUUGAUCUUAAACGAGGAAUUCCUAGUAAACGCAAGUCAUCAGCUUGCAUUGAUUACGUCCCUGCCCUUUGUACACACCGCCCGUCGCACCUACCGAUUGAAUGGUCCGGUGAAAUCUCCGGACUGGCGUGAGUCGGAGCAAUCUGACAAACACCGGAAAGUUGAUUAAACCUUACCAUUUAGAGGAAGGUGAAGUCGUAACA